rnacentral:ncRNA from 1 species
CGCCGCGACAGUGGCGAUUUGUUACCGGAUUGCGGGCCACGUUAAACAAGCCGCUAAAGAGGUCAGGAUGAAGGAGCC